rnacentral:rRNA from 1 species
ACUGGAGUUUGAUCCUGGCUCAGGACGAACGCUUGCGGCGUGCCUAAGAAAUGCAAGUCGAACGGGGGCUUCGGCCCCAGUGGCGAACGGUCGCGUAACACGUAAGCAACCUGCCCGUGAAGUGGGGGACAACAUCCCGAAAGGGGUGCUAAUACCGCAUGUGGUCACGAGUCGGCAUCGACUUGUGUCUAAACGAUUUAUCGCUUCAGGAUGGGACUUGCGGCCUAUCAGGUAGUUGGUGGGGUAAUGGCCUACCAAGCCGACGACGGGUAGCUGGUCUGAGAGGACGAUCGAGCCGGAUUGGGACUGAGAUACGGCCCAGACU